rnacentral:misc_RNA from 1 species
AGGGGGGUCUUGCCACAGGCCAGGUUAGUAGUAAUGUAGUAUUGACGUGGCUGCGGUCCAUAUAGUUAUGAAAAAAUUUGAUAUUUAUCCCUUCAAAAAAUUUGAACAAGCUCAACUCGCAAGUAUUCCACAUUGUUAAUGAAUGGAUCAACUUCUUAUUUUUAGAGUGCUAGAACUAUGUAAUGAAGUAUAUUGUUAUUAUCUUUUUGGUUUCUUUGGUAGUUUGAUAGGAUGGUUUUGUUUGGUUUGAUGAUUAAGAGGUCUUUCAAUAUGUUUCUUCUUUGCACACCGAGUAUUUGAUGUGAAAUUGCUGAUCAAAUAGCGCUGAAUUGUAAACAAAUUGAGCUGAGACUUAGAAGAGCUCAGGCUUGGCUCAUUAA